rnacentral:rRNA from 1 species
AGAAUCAACGCUGGCGGCGUGCCUAACACAUGCAAGUCGAACGAGAAAGUGGAGCAAUCCAUGAGUAAAGUGGCGACCGGGUGAGUAACACGUGACUAACCUACCUUCGAGUGGGGGAUAACCUCGGGAAACCGAGGCUAAUACCGCAUAACAUCGCAAGAUCAAAGCAGCAAUGCGCUGGAAGAGGGGGUCGCGGCUGAUUAGCUAGUUGGCGGGGUAACGGCCCACCAAGGCGAAGAUCGGUAGCCGGCCUGAGAGGGCGCACGGCCACACUGGAACUGAAACACGGUCCAGACUCCUACGGGAGGCAGCAGUGGGGAAUUUUGCGCAAUGGGGGAAACCCUGACGCAGCAACGCCGCGUGGAGGAUGAAGCCUCUUGGGGCGUAAACUCCUUUCGACCAAGACGAUAAUGACGGUACUGGUGGAAGAAGCACCGGCUAACUCUGUGCCAGCAGCCGC